AUGUUAUCUUUUUCUUCCAUUAGUCAGAUCGCUUCUUCUUCUCUACUUCUCCCCAACUCUUUUUUCUCCUUCCUUUACAUUUCUUCUUCCUGCACAACCCGCUAUGAUCCAGAGGGACCACUUUUUUUGCCCUGUCUCUGCAAAGGAGAUCCACAGUGCACUUUUUUAUACAUCUUUUAUUCCAUUCUGUUCUUCCUUUUUUUCUCGCCUUAUUUGUUUUUAUUUUUCUUUCUACGCCUUCAACCUUUACCUAUUGCCAGGUUCGAAGAGUUUCACUUGACAGGGGCGUCUGUUCCCCAGCCCCACAUUCACCGGGGGAACUCGAGAGCAGAUGACAUCCCUAGCUGUCAGUGUGCUGCCCCAGGUCUCCCCUCAGGGCGAUUCUGUUUCCCCCAGAGCAGGACAGAAGUGUUGAGGAAGUUGGUGGAAAGGAGAUUGCAGGAUGCUGCUGCCAGAGCCGGUGCAGCAGCCGUGCCCCGCCGAGCCCCGCAGCAGCCCAGGGGUGUGUAUGCAGCUGCCUGUCUGCACUUGAAAGAAGUCGUGGGGCUGUGUACACGGUUCCAUCCCAGGCUCUGGGCGUGCACCCUGCACUGGCCAGUGCUAAUAGGCUUUCAUCUCUGCCCAUUUUGUCAACAUCCUCCAGAAAACACGAGUCAACUGACAGAGUGACACUGUUGGAGGGGGCUUAUCUUCAUCAGGAGAUGUGGGAGCUGCUUCACCUGCCUCCCAGGGAAAUAAGCAAUUGGUGCAGUCCACAGAUGGGUGGCUAGGACACCUUCAUGGAAGUGGGUAAUAUAGAAUCUGACCACCCAAAUACAAGGGAACUUACCUCUUCCUUGUACUUUGAGGAAAUCACAGGGUAACUGCUAAGCUGUUACAUACAAGAUUCUUAUCACCACCCCUGCUAAUGAAAGCAUCUCAAGCUUUCAUGAUUAUCAGGAAACUGUAGGUGUGCUUUGAAUAUAUUUACUGGAUCCAGCUUCCUUGAACUGAGGCACAAGUCAUGAAUCUCACAGUCUUUGGCAGAGAUGGAGAAAAAAUAUUUGGCUCAGCCGGUAUCAUGGUUCCAUUGGGCAUGCUUUGCAGCAGAAAUGUUGACGCCAAACUAAGCUUUCCUGUGCAAACUUAAGCGCUUACAGACUCUCAGACAUCUAAAGGAUUAAGCAAAUCCUUUGUGGAUCACAUAUUUGGACAUGGGUGACUAAAGUCUGCCUAAAGUGCUUGAGAAGUUGGUUUGUGCACAUUGUAAUUUUCCAGUUCCUUCCAACUAACCCUUUGGUGUUAUAUUGGUGAUAAUUACUUCUCUGUCUUUGAAUGUCUGUCUCAAAGGGAUCUGUCUUCUCAGUAGCAUAACUUUUUGCGCAACUGGUAGAAACCAUCUUCUCUCUCAAACCACCUCGCUGAUUAAAACAGCCAAAUUCAGAGCAAUUGUUUGCAUUCCAGAUUUAGUUCUGAAGUUUGUUGCCUCCCUUUCUGAAGUAAUGAACAACAUCCUUCACUUCAUCUGUUUUUUCCCCAUCCAUUUCUGCUGGUGUGAUGCAAGAUGUUGUUUCUUUAUACCAGCUUUACCUUGUUUCUAGGACAGCAUUACAUGUACAAGAGGCUUCAACCUCUGGGAUAGACACAUCCAAUGUCACCGAGAGUUCUCAACAGGACAAAGGAAAACCAAGUACUUAGUUU
ensembl:lncRNA